rnacentral:tRNA from 1 species
UAGACAGAUGCUAGUUGGUUUAGGCGUUUAACUGUUAAUUAAAAACUCGAAGGAUCGAAGCCUUCCUGUCUAG